rnacentral:lncRNA from 13 species
UAGAUGAUGUUUUACUAAAGUGUAGCUUGCUGCGGUGACGAUGGCAGGCCCCGCUUGGAUCUGCCUCCAAGAAGAGCUUGCUGGAAAGCUGGAGGAGCGUGCUAGCCAGUGUAACUGCCAGAGGAGUUCUUCCUGCUCCUUUCACAAAGAAGGACCUUGGCAUUGCAGUAAAGAAGGAGUUUAGGAGACACGAGGCUGAGCACACCACGUGGGAGCCAGAGUGGGAACCAGCCGUUGCACAAGCAGCCUCCACCCUUCAGAGGAAUGAAUUCCUCUCCAUUUCGGCCAACACCACGGAAUACACUGGAAAGAAGAUGACAGGUCGGCUGAGGUCUGAGAGGACUGCACCACCAGCCAACAUCCUGUGGAGCAGAAGAACCAUUGGGCAGAACCCACCUAACUUACAGAUUCAUGAGAGAUAAUAGAAUGGUGGUGGUUUUCUGCCGCUAAAUCUUAGAAUGUUUUGCAUGUAGCAAUAGACAACCAAUGCAGUGAGAGAGUAGCUGGUGAAAUCUUGGCCACUAUGGCUUGGGGGUUUGUCUGUUGGAACAGUUAGUGUGUAUUUCCUUGAGCUGGCAGAUGACUAGUGCAUUAGACUAACCAAGAGAUAGCCUUGAGCUCAAGCAAAGGUAUAAAGGCUGGGAGAAUGUGCAGACACAACAGUUGUGCCCCUCAUUUCCUGACUGAGUAGAAAAGGAGAGUGAGAGCAGAGUAGUGGCAGUGACUUUGAGAGUCCCAGCCUGUGACCAUGAGUGGGUUCAUGAUUUUUAAUGAGGGCUGGGGACCAGGAACAGGAGUAGGUCUGCUAGAGGUAAGAAACAAGAAAACGAGGGCAUUCGAGUUUGGAUUUAAGGUGCUGAUGGGAUCUCAGUAGGAAACUGACCAUCAGGCAGAGGGCAUUUGACUUUGCUGCUCAGACAAGGGGCCAAGGCUGGACAUAAGAGGGGAAGUGAGAGCUCACUCCAUGAGAGAAUGACACCCAUGGAGAGGACGGAGGGAAAGGGAGAGACCAGAGGGAUAGUCAUGGAGAAUGCUUCCAUGGAAUUGGCACCUGGGAAGCUAGCAAUCAGGGAGGGGGGCCAAAGAAGAGCUGAGACAAAGAGAUGAUUCCUCAGAGCCUGGGGUCAGAGAAUUUCACUUAGUGAGGGGGAGUCAGUGUUAUCAAAGCCCGUGGUAGUGCUAAGAGGGGCACUGACAGCAGAAUCCGAGGCUCAAGCCAGAGGCAAUGGUGAGCAAAAAGUAUUAGAUCUUCAUCUAUUCAUCUGUCUAUCCCUUCAU